UAGGGAAUCUUCCGCAAUGGACGAAAGUCUGACGGAGCAACGCCGCGUGAGUGAUGAAGGCUUUCGGGUCGUAAAACUCUGUUGUUAGGGAAGAACAAGUGCUAGUUGAAUAGCCUGGCACCUUGACGGUACCUAACCAAAAAGCCACGGCUAACUACUUGCCA
rnacentral:rRNA from 1 species